UACGGAGGGUGCAAGCGUUAUCCGGAUUCACUGGGUUUAAAGGGUGCGUAGGUGGGUUGGUAAGUCAGAGGUGAAAUCUCCAGGCUUAACUUGGAAACUGCCAUUGAUACUAUCAAUCUUGAAUACCGUGGAGGUCAGCGGAAUAUGUCAUGUAGCGGUGAAAUGCUUAGAUAUGACAUAGAACACCAAUUGCGAAGGCAGCUGGCUACACGAAUAUUGACACUGAUGCACGAAAGCGUGGGGAUCAAACAGG
rnacentral:rRNA from 1 species